UACGAAGGGGGGCUAGCGUUGCUCGGAAUCACUGGGCGUAAAGCGCACGUAGGCGGAUUGUUAAGUCAGGGGUGAAAUCCUGGAGCUCAACUCCAGAACUGCCUUUGAUACUGGCGAUCUUGAGUCCGGGAGAGGUGAGUGGAACUGCGAGUGUAGAGGUGAAAUUCGUAGAUAUUCGCAAGAACACCGGUGGCGAAGGCGGCUCACUGGCCCGAUACUGACGCUGAGGCACGAAAGCG
rnacentral:rRNA from 1 species